GAGUUUGAUCAUGGCUCAGGACGACGCUGGCGGCGUGCUUAACACAUGCAAGUCGAGCGGAAAGGCCCUUUCGGGGGUACUCGAGCGGCGAACGGGUGAGUAACACGUGAGUAAUCUGCCCUUGGCUUUGGGAUAACUACCGGAAACGGUGGCUAAUACCGGAUAUGACCAUGCUCGGCAUCGGGUGUGGUGGAAAGUUUUUUCGGCCAGGGAUGUGCUCGCGGCCUAUCAGCUUGUUGGUGGGGUAAUGGCCUACCAAGGCUUCGACGGGUAGCCGGCCUGAGAGGGUGACCGGCCACACUGGAACUGAGACACGGCCCAGACUCCUACGGGAGGCAGCAGUGGGGAAUAUUGGACAAUGGGCGGAAGCCUGAUCCAGCAACGCCGCGUGAGGGAUGACGGCCUUCGGGUUGUGAACCUCUUUCAGUACCGACGAAGCGCCGAUGAUGGUGGUGACGGUAGGUACAGAAGAAGCACCGGCCAACUACGUG
rnacentral:rRNA from 1 species